GGGGACGCAGUAGGAUAGGCGAAGCGUGCGAUUGGAUUGCACGUCUAAGCAGUAAGGCUGAGUAUUAGGCAAAUCCGGUACUCGUUAAGGCUGAGCUGUGAUGGGGAGAAGACAUUGAGUCUUCGAGUCGUUGAUUUCACACUGCCGAGAAAAGCCUCUAGAUAGAAAAUAGGUGCCCGUACCGCAAACCGACACAGGUAGUCAAGAUGAGAAUUCUAAGGUGAGCGAGCGAACUCUCGUUAAGGAACUCGGCAAAAUGACCCCGUAACUUCGGGAGAAGGGGUGCUCUUUAGGGUUAACGCCCAGAAGAGCCGCAGUGAAUAGGCCCAAGCGACUGUUUAUCAAAAACACAGGUCUCUGCUAAACCGUAAGGUGAUGUAUAGGGGCUGACGCCUGCCCGGUGCUGGAAGGUUAAGAGGAGUGGUUAGCUUCUGCGAAGCUACGAAUCGAAGCCCCAGUAAACGGCGGCCGUAACUAUAACGGUCCUAAGGUAGCGAAAUUCCUUGUCGGGUAAGUUCCGACCCGCACGAAAGGCGUAACGAUUUGGGCACUGUCUCAACGAGAGACUCGGUGAAAUCAUAGUACCUGUGAAGAUGCAGGUUACCCGCGACAGGACGGAAAGACCCCGUGGAGCUUUACUGUAGCCUGAUAUUGAAAUUCGGCACAGCUUGUACAGGAUAGGUAGGAGCCUUUGAAACGUGAGCGCUAGCUUACGUGGAGGCGCUGGUGGGAUACUACCCUAGCUGUGUUGGCUUUCUAACCCGCACCACUUAUCGUGGUGGGAGACAGUGUCAGGCGGGCAGUUUGACUGGGGCGGUCGCCUCCUAAAAGGUAACGGAGGCGCUCAAAGGUUCCCUCAGAAUGGUUGGAAAUCAUUCAUAGAGUGUAAAGGCAUAAGGGAGCUUGACUGCGAGACCUACAAGUCGAGCAGGGUCGAAAGACGGACUUAGUGAUCCGGUGGUUCCGCAUGGAAGGGCCAUCGCUCAACGGAUAAAAGCUACCCCGGGGAUAACAGGCUUAUCUCCCCCAAGAGUUCACAUCGACGGGGAGGUUUGGCACCUCGAUGUCGGCUCAUCGCAUCCUGGGGCUGUAGUCGGUCCCAAGGGUUGGGCUGUUCGCCCAUUAAAGCGGUACGCGAGCUGGGUUCAGAACGUCGUGAGACAGUUCGGUCCCUAUCCGUCGUGGGCGUAGGAAAUUUGAGAGGAGCUGUCCUUAGUACGAGAGGACCGGGAUGGACAUACCUCUGGUGUACCAGUUGUCGUGCCAACGGCAUAGCUGGGUAGCUAUGUGUGGACGGGAUAAGUGCUGAAAGCAUCUAAGCAUGAAGCCCCCCUCAAGAUGAGAUUUCCCAACUUCGGUUAUAAGAUCCCUCAAAGAUGAUGAGGUUAAUAGGUUCGAGGUGGAAGCAUGGUGACAUGUGGAGCUGACGAAUACUAAUCGAUCGAAGACUUAAUCAA
rnacentral:rRNA from 1 species